AUAGAACGCUGGCGGCAGGCUUAACACAUGCAAGUCGAGCGGGGCGAAGGUAGCUUGCUACUGGACCUAGCGGCGGACGGGUGAGUAAUGCUUAGGAAUCUGCCUAUUAGUGGGGGACAACAUCUCGAAAGGGAUGCUAAUACCGCAUACGUCCUACGGGAGAAAGCAGGGGAUCUUCGGACCUUGCGCUAAUAGAUGAGCCUAAGUCGGAUUAGCUAGUUGGUGGGGUAAAGGCCUACCAAGGCGACGAUCUGUAGCGGGUCUGAGAGGAUGAUCCGCCACACUGGGACUGAGACACGGCCCAGACUCCUACGGGAGGCAGCAGUGGGGAAUAUUGGACAAUGGGCGCAAGCCUGAUCCAGCCAUGCCGCGUGUGUGAAGAAGGCCUUAUGGUUGUAAAGCACUUUAAGCGAGGAGGAGGCUACUUUAGAUAAUACCUAGAGAUAGUGGACGUUACUCGCAGAAUAAGCACCGGCUAACUCUGUGCCAGCAGCCGCGGUAAUACAGAGGGUGCAAGCGUUAAUCGGAUUUACUGGGCGUAAAGCGCGCGUAGGCGGCUAAUUAAGUCAAAUGUGAAAUCCCCGAGCUUAACUUGGGAAUUGCAUUCGAUACUGGUUAGCUAGAGUGUGGGAGAGGAUGGUAGAAUUCCAGGUGUAGCGGUGAAAUGCGUAGAGAUCUGGAGGAAUACCGAUGGCGAAGGCAGCCAUCUGGCCUAACACUGACGCUGAGGUGCGAAAGCAUGGGGAGCAAACAGGAUUAGAUACCCUGGUAGUCCAUGCCGUAAACGAUGUCUACUAGCCGUUGGGGCCUUUGAGGCUUUAGUGGCGCAGCUAACGCGAUAAGUAGACCGCCUGGGGAGUACGGUCGCAAGACUAAAACUCAAAUGAAUUGACGGGGGCCCGCACAAGCGGUGGAGCAUGUGGUUUAAUUCGAUGCAACGCGAAGAACCUUACCUGGCCUUGACAUAGUAAGAACUUUCCAGAGAUGGAUUGGUGCCUUCGGGAACUUACAUACAGGUGCUGCAUGGCUGUCGUCAGCUCGUGUCGUGAGAUGUUGGGUUAAGUCCCGCAACGAGCGCAACCCUUUUCCUUAUUUA
rnacentral:rRNA from 1 species